AAAUGAGUGGUAAAGAGAUUAAAUUAAAUUCAUUCAUUAAAUAUGAAGACAGGGUAGGUACAUUUUAUGUGUAAAUUAUUCAGGGCAUUUUAACUGGUAAGAUCUUCAACUAGUGUAGACAGACAGGUCCAGUGUAGUCAAUGUAGCUUACUGAUUUUCACCGGCUCGGGCUGGCUAUCAGUUUGGACAUAUGUAUAUGCAACACACCACACAUACAGAGAGAGAGGAGAGAAAAUAUCUCAUAUCUUUACUUCAGCGGUAGAGCUUCUGAAAAUGUCUUAGUAGCAUAAAAACGAUAGGAUUAUAGUUUUUCAUAAUAGAUGAUGAUCCAUUAUGAUCAUGGAUGAUCAUAGCCCGCUCUGUCUAUAGACCCGGCUGAUUAACCAUAGCUGAAGUUUGUGUUCCUCCGCCCAUUGGCCGACUUUUGAAAGAAAGUGCUUACAAAGAGAGCCCCUCAAACACAUCGUUUCACCAACACAAGCGCAUACUUGAUGUGAAACGAACUUUUCACAGAGCUACUUUUACUGUGGCAACAAAAGAAAUCUCCCCCAUACAUUUCCCCAAAUGCCUUCCUCCAGUGAUUACUGAAACAGAGCAUGGGAAUGACCAGAGGUGUUCUCUUGCGCGCUGAGUGAAGGGAUUGUGGCUGCCAUCCCAAGAUCCAGCCUUGACUUUAGCGCUUACAGCCGAGAUCUGUCGGUAUACACCUCGGCCUGAUGUUAACGUGUGAAAGAGUUAAUGGUGUAUUGGAGUUCGUACUUCCACAUACCACAAAGGUAGUGAUCCACAUUCCUGCUGCCUCUGAAGUAAGAAUUGGAAUAGACAAUACAGGUAAAAAUCUCCUAAGUGCCAUUACAAAAGAGACUUUAGGCACUCAGGAAUCUACAUUUCAUUGAUAUAUAAACUUAGCUUCCUAAAAGUCCUGCUUGAAAUUGGGACUUAGGCUCCUAAGUAAUUGAGGCACUUUUGAAAAUGUUGCCCUGUCUUUUAAUUUCUUUUCUAUGAAGCAUAUUGUUUAAGUCAAAGAACAGAUUUAAAUUUUUUGUUAAAGUUAAUGUUGAAAAAUUAAUUAGUACACAGGUCAAAAAAAAAGUGUCUGUACAUCUGGGUAUAGUGCUUAGAUUAUCCACAAAUAUACAGUUUGUUUUAAAAGUCAUAAGAUACUGUGGCAAAGCUCCAACCUUUUCUCCAUGGGUCCCGCGCUUCCAGGCAGUUUAUGCUAGCCUCAGAGGCUCACUGCGACCCUCCAUGUAUCCCUUCUCUCUCUCUAGGGCCAGGGUUACAGUCUA
rnacentral:lncRNA from 1 species